CACCAGCUCUUGAGAAGCUCUGGGACUCCACACGGCAUGAGGAGGACACGGGUUACGAAAGAGGCCCAGGACGUGGUCCCAGCCCACAAGGAGCUAGGCCCCUAGAGAGGACACUCAGGGAUGCUUGCCAAGAAAGCAAGUGAACAGCAGGUUGGAAAAUCUGAAAACAAACUUGUCAACAAGGUUAAGGCAGGGAAACAGUCAAGAAAAGGUCAAUAUCGCCUUCCAGUUGUUAGAACCCCAUUUCACCUUGCAAGGAAAAUGUUGAAAAACUUCACGUUAAGAUUGGUGGCAGUGGUGUGACUGAAAGAGACUUCCGGUGGCAUUUGGGGACAAUGAGAAACACAGUGGUGGUACCUACAAACUCCCUUCUGAAUUCACUGUCUUUCUCCCCAUUUCCGAGGGCUGUGGAUUGUUCCUGCAUAGACGAGACCCACCCGCGCUCAAACACCCAGCCAGAGAAGCCACAAAACAAUCUCCGUUGUCCUUGGAAGAAAGCCCGCCCUACCCACUAGGAGGGAGGGAGCCUCUCCUCCCUCGGGGAACACGCUGGAUCGAGGCGGACGGACCUCGGGACGCCACGCUGCAGGGGUCAACGAGGAACUGUCAAGUUAGGUUCGCCUGUGGAUUUUAUAAUAAAUACCCCCUCCCCCAUUUUAGGCAUCAACAUAGAACGCCUUUUGAUUUCCUAAUAAUAUGAAAAUAGACAAGUUUCCAAAGAGUUAAAUGUUUAUUCCAAAAAUAAGAGUCUCAGAAUAAAGGACAAUCCUUUAUCUUAAGUAUGUAGUUUUAUGAAAAACUCACUCAACUGUCUUACUUUUCUUCCCCCCCACCCCCCAAGAUCCACUAACAACCUGGGGCAGAGCUGAGCCCCGUGUUUGGGAACCCCUAGUGUGACUUGUCACCCAGCCCUCGGCUCAGGUCUGAAUUCUCCGGUUAACGACAGCAGCGACUUGGGGCCGGAGGCGGCUCCUGGCGGGGCGAUUCUCCGCGUUAGCUCGCCUCCCACACGGGAGCCGGCCGCUGACCCCCGGUUCUGCUCCUUGCACGUGGGGGCCGGUCCCCGGCGGCUCGGAGGAGGGCCGGACCUCCGCGGGGAGAGCCAGGGCGGGGACAACGACGCGAGGGCGCGGGGGCCACCUCCUCGGCGCGCCGACCUGGGGCGCGGGCGGCACGGGCCCCGAGCCACGGGCCCCGCGGGCUUCCUGUUCGCGGACGGCGCCACCGAGGCCCGGGACGUGCAGUCUGCCGGGCCGCCGCGCGCUCCUUCGGCGAGCGCCUUUUGGGGAAACCAGGAGAGGGGCCGUCGUUCCAGAAGGCGGGGCCCACGGCGGCCUCGCCCGGUCCUCGCCGCCACCGCCCCCUCCUUAGGCCCGUGGGCUCCUUCCACGGCCUCCGCUCCAAACCCGGUCCGAGAUCUGCCGGGCAACAGGCCUGCCGCCGCCUGGCCGCGGGGUAGGGCCCGCUCUUGGGGCGCACGCGCAGCGGGCCACCAACGCCACAUUCCGGCCUCCAGC
rnacentral:lncRNA from 1 species